GGAGGAGUGCUUGGAGAGGCUUAUCAGCCAGGUCUCGAAAACCUUGGGAGCCGCAAGGCUCACGUGAGUUCGAAUCUCACCUCCUCCG
rnacentral:tRNA from 1 species